rnacentral:tRNA from 1 species
UAGGAUAUGGUGUAAUGGUAGCACGAAAAAUUUUGAAUUUUUAGGUUUAGGUUCAAUUCCUAUUGUUCUAG